CUUAUCUCUCUCUUCCCUCUCUCUCUCCCUUUCUCCCUGUAUCGCUACUUGCCCCCUGCUGUACCUGUGAAUACCGACCAUUAACAUUGAAAUCAUUCUUCCCCCUUUCUAAUAUCACCAUCAUCGAAGUAUCUUUCUGUCUGUAGAGCCCCAAAAGCAAAACCUAAUGGUCGUUGCAGCUGGUCCGAUCUCCUUGAUGUCUGUAAGAAGAGGAAAUUUAGAAAUUAUCAUGGGUUUUCAUUAUUGAGAGUUAAGAAGAGGAAUUUGAAAUUGAUUCUCAAAUUACAGCGAAGGAAUUAGAGGAUUAGGUUUCGUUUUACGUCUAAGAUUAAGAAGCUAAUUGAGAAAACUAGGGUUUUGUUUGUGCUACAAAUCGAAGAAUUAAACGGAAUCAAUAAAUGGGUUUGUUUUAAUUAGGUUUAGAAUUGGUUUAUUAAUGGAUUCGAGUUUUACGGAUUAGGGUUUCUAACAGAUUGGGGAUUUAGGGUUCAUGGAUUUGAAUUACAGAUGAAAAAGAUGAAACUGAUGGUGAGAAAUUAUAAGAAGAAAAUUGAGUUUGUGUCUGAGGAAAAUUUUUUUAGAGGAGGAUAAUUGUUGCAGGUGGUGGUGGUUUAAUGAGCUACAGAACUAUGAAGAUUGUAAUGGUGAUGGAAUUGAAAUAAUAGUUCGGUUGAUGUGGUCUUGAAUGAGCUACAAGAGUUGAUCUUAGUUUGGUUUAGAUUGUAAUGAUUUGAAUGGUGAUGGAUGAAUAUUGGUUGUGCUGAGAUGCUUUUGAUGAUGAUGCUAUGGUCAGUCAUAAUAGUUGCGACUGAAAGAUAUUGAAAUGAAUAAUGUUGCUGGUAUGAAGAUGGUGGUUUAAACGUCUAUGUGGCUGAAUGAUAGUGAUGUGAAGGAAUGACGCUAAUCUGAAGAGAUUUGAAAUGUUCAUAAAUUUUAGGUCAAGGUAUGCUAGGUUUUGGAUGGUUUAUGUUUACUCUAAAUUUAUCUGCAAUAAUAUUAAUGCUUGAACUCAUUGUCGUUUGCUUUUCAAAUCACAUAUCUUGAAACAUGAGUGGCCAGCUAGGUGGUGAAAUUUUAUUCCGGAUCUUGUUUCAGUAGCGAAGACAAGUGAAACAAUAUGUUAGAAUUUCAUGGCUGUAUUAAAGCUUCUCAGUGAAGAGAUGUUGGACUUUCCACCUGGUGAAAUGAUUCAGCAGAAGAUCAAAGAGCUAAAAUAAUCAUUGAAUAGUUUUGAUGGCAUUGCUAUUCUCAUUCUCUUGUAUUUAUUGACUAAUACAUUUGCGUGACUAAUAUAUCAUUUGUUGUACCCUUGUAGGUGGUGGUGUUCAGUUCAUGUAGUAAACAUGCUUAUAUUUCCCAGCAACUGAAGACUGAGAGCAUCACUAGUCAGCUCUGCCUUCUUCACCGGGCUUAGCAGAAGCACAUGGUCUGCAGUUUGAAGCUAGGUCCAGGACCCAGCUGUGGCUGGAGCAUCAAUAUAAGCCUUUCUUUCAAAUCUUAGAAAAGAUUUAUCGCUUCUUCCUCUUAUACAAAGGUCAAGAAAUCUGGCAUGAGUUAUUUCUUGUCUCUGUGAAUGCUUUCAAAUUGCUUGCAGGAUUUAAUGUUGAGUCUGUUGAAUACAAGAACAUUAGCUUCACUGUCUGGCAUGUUGGGGUCAAGAAAUAUAUGAAUUUUGCUACAUUUUUUGUUUUCUGUUCUUUUUUGCAUUUUAUGUUGUUACAAAGGUAAUUAGUAAUAUCAUUUCUUUUAAAGAUCCCUCCAUUGUAGAGACACUACUUCCAAAACACAUAAGGUCUUACUUUCAUAGUUGAAAGUAAUGACAAAGACCGUGUUAUUGAGGCAAGGGAUGAACUGCAGACGAAGUUUAGUGAGGUUUCCUUGUGGUUUUUGUUUGCCAGCAAACAUAUUUCAUCUCCUAGUUUCCCUGUGCAUAUCUUGUCUGGUGCAAUCCUAGUCCUAGGAAAAUGAGUGCAUCUCCUUGUCGUGCUUUAUUGCAGGCUUUUGUGAAGUUUGUCUAACCGAUAGAAGUGGCAUUUGCUUACUUCAGUUAGUGUUUUUAUCACCUUGCUUGGUGCUGACUUCACGAGAAUGGAAUCUUUCGGCAAAGUUGAAGAGGUUGCGGAGACUCUGGUAAGUAGUAGUGAUUUUUUGCUUUAAAUGAAGUUUCCUCGCUCGUUUGAUAUUGGACUUUUGUUAUUCUUAUUUGAUAAGUCGAAAUCUAUUUGAUGAACAGGUUAGUAAACUAGAUAGAAGUUGGAAAAAGGGCAUUGUUGUGAUUUUCAAUUGAGUUGUAGUAGUAGGUUCGUUGAGACUUGUGAAAGCAAUAGAUUUUAGACUUAAUUUUAAAGCAAAGAAAAUAAAGCAAAUAAAUGUUGAUAUGUUGUAAAAAUUAU